rnacentral:lncRNA from 1 species
GGAGGCUGCGCGGCGGAGAGUAGAGAGCUAGAGGGUGAGAAGCGCUGGGCCGGACCAGAACUGUCUUAGCUUUUCCCUCUGCGGCUGCUCUGGUUGGUUACUUUGAGCCUGCCUCCUCAGCGCCGCAGGAGAGACUUAACAGCAAAAAUGACUGUGUCCUGAGUUCAGCCCCCACUGCUCUGGGAGCUUCCCCCUGGUUUCUGCACCUGAAGAAUGUCAUCCCAGCCGAAGGUUCUUAGGAGCGGGGAGCGACAAAGAAAAACAAAGAAAAGCAGACCUGAAAAUUGGGACCUGGGAGAAAUGUAAGACAUGUGCUUAAUUUGAGGCACAGACCAAAAGAAGCUGAGUCUGAGGGCCCUCUAAAAGUGUCCUCGUGCUUGGGCAGCUUACAUUCUUGGCGGCAGUAGUGUUAUGAAGAGGACCUUCGGAGCCAGAGACGAGUGCUCUAAACCAGUAUCAUGGCUCCAGUUCCUCUGACAAGGAUUCACAUGGGAUCCCGAACCACUCAAAAGGACAAAACAAGGAAAUAGCAAUGAAAUUGGAUUCAGUGAAUGGGGUAAGGGUAUUAAGUGUCUGAAAUAUAAGAGAUAAAAAAAUUAGUUUUUACCUUUUUUUCUAUUUUCUAAAUGUUUUGGUGGCUAGAAUAAGAUAUACUUUGAACUCAAGAGCAAUAAAUGUUAAUAUAUUAAAAGUAGCUUUAUGAAAUAUGGAAAGUAUCUUUAUUUCAAAAUACUUCAAAGUAAUCAUCUGAAUAUUUAUCAGAAAUAUUAAGACAACUUAUUAAAUCCUGUAUUAAAAUGAUUGCUUAUUACUUUUUGUUUAUACUAGUCAGAAGUGAUUCUCUUCCACAUUUUAGAUUUUUCAGAGUAAAAAGGAUAUAAUUUUAGACUUUCAAUUGAAUAUAAACUGGGGUUUUUCCACACGAUUUGUGGACAUGGCUGUCUGAUGGUGACUCUUAGGUAUUUAUGCUAAAAAUGUUAUUUUGGGGAUCCUUGGGAAUGGACUCUGAUAUUUAUUUAUUUAUUUAUUUAUUUAUUUAUUUAUUUAUUUAUUUUGAGGCGGAGUUUCACUCUUGUUGCCCAGGCUGGAGUGCAAUGGCACCUUGCCGGCUCACCGCAACCUCC